GUAGGUGGCAAGCGUUGUCCGGAAUUAUUGGGCGUAAAGCGCGCGCAGGCGGUUCUUUAAGUCUGAUGUGAAAGCCCACGGCUCAACCGUGGAGGGUCAUUGGAAACUGGAGAACUUGAGUACAGAAGAGGAAGGCGGAAUUCCACGUGUAGCGGUGAAAUGCGUAGAGAUGUGGAGGAACACCAGUGGCGAAGGCGGCUUUCUGGUCUGUAACUGACGCUGAGGCGCGAAAGCGUGGGGAGCAAACAGGGAUUAGAUACCCUGGUAGUCCACGCCGUAAACGAUGAGUGCUAAGUGUUAGGGGGGUUUCCGGCCCCCCUUAGUGCUGCAGCUAACGCAUUAAGCACUCCGCCUGGGGAGUACGGCCGCAAGGCUG
rnacentral:rRNA from 1 species